rnacentral:tRNA from 1 species
AAAUUUUUAGUUUAAAAAAAAAAAACAUUAAAUUGCAAAUUUAAAAAUAUUUUAUUAUAAAAUUUU